UAGGGGAGGCACCAGUGGGGAAUCUUGGACAAUGGGGGCAACCCUGAUCCAGCAAUGCCGCGUGGGUGAAGAAGGCCUUCGGGUUGUAAAGCCCUUUCGGCAGGGAAGAAAUCGGCGGGGCGAAUAACCCUGCUGGAUGACGGUACCUGCAGAAGAAGCACCGGCUAACUACGUGCCAGCAGCCGCGGUAAUACGUAGGGUGCGAGCGUUAAUCGGAUUUACUGGGCGUAAAGCGUGCGCAGGCGGCCCGUUAANACAGGUGUGAAAUCCCUGGGCUCAACCUAGGAAUUGCGCUUGUGACUGGCGGGCUCGAGUACGGUAGAGGGGGGUGGAAUUCCUGGUGUAGCAGUGAAAUGCGUAGAGAUCAGGAGGAACACCGAUGGCGAAGGCAGCCCCCUGGGCCUGUACUGACGCUCAUGCACGAAAGCGUGGGGAGCAAACAGGAUUAGAUACCCUGGUAGUCCACGCCCUAAACGAUGGGUACUAGCCGUUU
rnacentral:rRNA from 1 species